rnacentral:misc_RNA from 1 species
CGAUGCUAUUAAUGAACCUUAUCGUCCAAUUCCAUCAGGGGCUAUUUCUGAGAAUGAGGUCAUUACGCAAAUCUGGGUACUGCUUCUAGGAGGGCUUAGCUUGGCUGGUUUAUUGGAUGUAUGGGCUGGGCAUGACUACCCCGUAGUAUUCUACCUUGCUCUGGGUGGAUCCUUACUGUCAUACAUAUAUUCUGCUCCACCUUUGAAGCUGAAACAAAAUGGAUGGAUUGGAAAUUUUGCCCUGGGAGCAAGCUAUAUCAGUUUGCCAUGGUGGGCUGGUCAAGCUUUGUUUGGAACCCUUACGCCAGAUAUAAUAGUUCUGACUCUCUUGUAUAGUAUAGCUGGGCUGGGAAUUGCCAUUGUAAAUGACUUCAAAAGUAUUGAAGGAGAUAGAGCAUUGGGCCUUCAGUCACUUCCAGUUGCUUUUGGCGCUGAAACUGCAAAAUGGAUUUGCGUUGGUGCCAUUGACAUAACUCAGAUCUCAGUAGCUGGUUAUCUGCUAGGAGCUGGUAAACCUUAUUAUGCUUUGGCCUUGCUUGCUUUGAUACUUCCUCAGAUAGUUUUCCA